rnacentral:rRNA from 1 species
UACAGAGGUCUCAAGCGUUGUUCGGAUUCAUUGGGCGUAAAGCGUGCGUAGGCGGUUGUCUAAGUCUGGUGUGAAAUCUCCCGGCUCAACUGGGAGGGUGCGCCGGAAACUGGAUGACUGGAGUGCCGGAGAGGUAAGCGGAAUUCCUGGUGUAGCGGUGAAAUGCGUAGAGAUCGGGAAGAACAUCAGUGGCGAAGGCGGUCUGCUGGGCCGUUGCUGACGCUGAGGCGCGACAGCGUGGGGAGCAAACAGG